GAGUUUGAUCAUGGCUCAGAUUGAACGCUGGCGGCAUGCCUUACACAUGCAAGUCGAACGGCAGCAUGAUCUAGCUCGCUAGAUUGAUGGCGAGUGGCGAACGGGUGAGUAAUACAUCGGAACGUGCCCUGUAGUGGGGGAUAACUAGUCGAAAGAUUAGCUAAUACCGCAUACGACCUGAGGGUGAAAGUGGGGGACCGCAAGGCCUCAUGCUAUAGGAGCGGCCGAUGUCUGAUUAGCUAGUUGGUGGGGUAAAGGCCCACCAAGGCGACGAUCAGUAGCUGGUCUGAGAGGACGAUCAGCCACACUGGGACUGAGACACGGCCCAGACUCCUACGGGAGGCAGCAGUGGGGAAUUUUGGACAACGGGCGAAAGCCUGAUCCAGCAAUGCCGCGUGUGUGAAGAAGGCCU
rnacentral:rRNA from 1 species